GGAGGGUGCAAGCGUUGUUCGGAAUUAUUGGGCGUAAAGAGCGUGUAGGCGGUCCGGUAAGUCAGAUGUGAAAGCCCUGGGCUCAACCCAGGAAGUGCAUUUGAAACUACCAGACUUGAGUACGGGAGAGGAGGGGGAAUUCCCGGUGUAGAGGUGAAAUUCGUAGAUAUCGGGAGGAAUACCAGUGGCGAAGGCGCCCCUCUGGACCGAUACUGACGCUGAGACGCGAAAGCGUGGGGAGCAAACAGGAUUAGAUACCCUGGGUAGUCCACGCCGUAAACGAUGAGCACUAGGUGUAGCGGGUAUUGACCCCCCCUGCUGUGCCGUAGCUAACGCAUUAAGUGCUCCGCCUGGGGGACUACGGUCGCAAGACUA
rnacentral:rRNA from 1 species